CUUUCACUGGCCACACUAUGGAAAACUUCCAUUUCUUUCAAUGGUUGAGAUAUGAGAUUCUUUGUGAAUUGUUUCUUCUGGCUAGAUGAAAAUUACUAAAAUGGCAUUAGUAAUCACUAUAUUAGUCUGUUUUCUGUUGCUUAUAAGAGAAUACCUGAAACUGGGUAAUUUAUAAAGAAAAAAAUUUAUUUCUUACACUUACAGAGGCUGAGAAGUCCAAGGUCGAGGGCCUGCAUCUGGUGAUGGCCUUCUUACUGGUGGGGACUCUGAAGCAUCCUGAGGUAGGCAGGGCAUCACAUGGUUGGAGCAGAAGGAACAGCCAGGGAAAUGCAUCCAUUUAACCUUCCAGACUCUGGAGUCCACCUUCUUUGUUUUAAGUAAAUUUUAGAUGCAGAGGCCAUGAACUCAGCUUAUAAUCAGCCUUAUUGCUCAUUCACUUAUUCCAUAUUCAAGAUAUUUAAUGCUCAUAUUGCUCUGACAACAUGCCAAGGAUCUUCAGCUGACACCUCCCUGCAUACUCUACUGGGUGAUAUCUCUUCUGAUUUGUUUUUGUGACUGUUCUGAUUAGUUGGACUCAUGCUAUACAGGUUAUUCAAUAUUUUGAAUAACAUCCUUGACUUAUAAAAUUGUAAUGGGAUAAUAGUUUAUAGUAUCAACCAAGGUUUGUUUGUUUGUUUUCUUUUUCCCUCAAGAAUCUCAUUAUAUUCCUGAUACUUCCUCAAUCAAUGUGUAAGAGCAUUCCAGCCUAUGGUAUUAGUCAGGAUAGGCCAGACUGUGCUGCAAUAAUAAACAGCUGCAAAAAUCUCAAUGGUUAAACAC
rnacentral:lncRNA from 10 species